rnacentral:rRNA from 1 species
UACGUAGGGUGCGAACGUUAAUCGGAAUUACUGGGCGUAAAGCGUGCGUAGGUGGUUCGUUAAGUCUGAUGUGAAAGCCCUGGGCUCAACCUGGGAAUGGCAUUGGAUACUGGCGAUCUAGAGUGCGGUAGAGGGCAGUGGAAUUCCCGGUGUAGCAGUGAAAUGCGUAGAGAUCGGGAGGAACAUCUGUGGCGAAGGCGACUGCCUGGACCAGCACUGACACUGAGGCACGAAAGCGUGGGGAGCAAACAGG